AGUAACACGUGGGUAACCUGCCUGUAAGACUGGGAUAACUCCGGGAAACCGGAGCUAAUACCGGAUAGUUCCUUGAACCGCAUGGUUCAAGGAUGAAAGACGGUUUCGGCUGUCACUUACAGAUGGACCCGCGGCGCAUUAGCUAGUUGGUGGGGUAAUGGCUCACCAAGGCGACGAUGCGUAGCCGACCUGAGAGGGUGAUCGGCCACACUGGGACUGAGACACGGCCCAGACUCCUACGGGAGGCAGCAGUAGGGAAUCUUCCGCAAUGGACGAAAGUCUGACGGAGCAACGCCGCGUGAGUGAUGAAGGUUUUCGGAUCGUAAAGCUCUGUUGUUAGGGAAGAACAAGUGCGAGAGUAACUGCUCGCACCUUGACGGUACCUAACCAGAAAGCCACGGCUAACUACGUGCCAGCAGCCGCGGUAAUACGUAGGUGGCAAGCGUUGUCCGGAAUU
rnacentral:rRNA from 1 species